rnacentral:lncRNA from 1 species
AGACCGGAUGGGAGGGGAGGCCCUUACAAUGGCCCUUAUGUGCCCCCACAGUCAUGUUAGGAAUAGGAGGAGAACCUCAUCCUAACAUGAGCAAAGUCGAAGGCCCGAUUAUCCAGAGAUCGGAUGGGGGGAGAGAUCCUUACAAUGGUCCUUAUGUGCCCCCACAGCCAUGUUAGGAACAGGAGGAGAACCUCAUUCUAACAUGAGCAAAGUCGAAGGCCCGAUUAUCUAGAGAUCGGAUGAGGAGAGAUGCCCUAGUAACAGUCUUUACGUGCCCCCACAGUCCUAUUAGGAACAGGAGGAGAACCUCAUCCUAAUAUGAGCUAAAAUUGACUGUCGAAAAUAGGAGGAGAACCUCAUCCUGAUGCAAACAAAGACCCGAUCGAUCAAGAUCAGACAAGGAGGAAAGCCUCCUCAACGGCUCCUGUACACUCCCACGACCCCGUUAAGAGUAAAGAGAAAACCCUCAGUCGAACACAAAAAAAGAAAAAGGAGGAAGAUGAAAAGGGAAAGCGACGAACUACACC